rnacentral:tRNA from 1 species
CCCCCGAUAGUUUAAUUAGAACGGAGCUCUGAUACAGCUUUUGUCCCUUUUUGGGU